rnacentral:misc_RNA from 1 species
ACAAAUACUUGAUCCAAAUCUAAUUCCAAAACAAAUAUGCAACCACCACUACCAAGGAUCACUCCAAUGCCAUGAAUAAUGAAACUACAAAGGACCAAAUAAUCUUGCUCAAUAUUUCACAAUGCCAAUUUCUUCAAAUGAAGCCUCAAUCUUGUGCAAGCUGCCUCACAUUCAACGGAAAUAUAUCGUUUGAAUCACCAUCGAGCAAUCGCUUCGCUAUGAUAACAUUUGCAGCAUCAGAUGGAUGGUAAGGGUCCCAAAAGAAGAACUUCAAAUGGUCCGGGCAGACUAUCGAAGUCGGCCCACAAGGUAUCAGUCCCCCGUAUCGCCCCGCAACGAAGCAACAAGCUGAAUUCACAACUUCGAAACCAUAUGAGCUAUAAUUUUGAAUGAUAUCAGAUACAAUGCCAUAUGCAUUUCCAUAUGCAAACUGCACUCCUUGAAGAGAUGAACUAAGCUCCAUUACAAGAUCCUUUAAUCUACUAUUAAAAUUUCGGGCUAAUUGAUUCGGUAAUUCGACACAAUCGCUGCCCGAUAAUAGAUUACUGUCCCUCGAGUAUGGUAUGCAACCGAUCGGCCCAACGUUGCUUACCACAAUUUUUCGAGCAUCGAGAGAGUAGAGCCUCACUAAUUGUAGUCUGUAUUUUGUGAUCAAUUGUUGGACGUAUAUUUCGGGAGAGACUAGAAUCCUUUCGGGCAGCGAUAAUACAGGAGUAAGAUAGUUGUUGAUGAAAUCGUUCGCCCCGAUGGUGAUCGAGAAGAGGGCAGUUCUUAAUAGGUUCGUUGCUGCAGGCAUUCCGAGGCUGGUGAUUAAAUCUUGUCUUGUGUUUGCAUAAUUAUCUAAUUGUGCAUCCAUAUUUAUGCGUCCGCCAAAAAGAGAUCCAGUGUGAUUGAGAAUUCCUCCUGCUCCAGAUGCAUAAUUGACUCCAUUCAGUAUCGCGGCACCCUUAGUUGUAGGAGCUAAAUAGGGAGGGACCAAACUCUGUAAACCCAAUUCCUGGCCUAAUAUAUCAGCGAUUGUUCGACCGUUCGUGAAUCGGCCGGUUGGCUCCCCGUUUGGAGGAAGAUCAAUACCAUUUGGUCUGUAAUUAGCCCUGGAAAGAGUGGAAAUGUAGUUGUUGUUCCCCGCAUCGACCAACGAAUCCCCGAAGAUGAAGGAAGCGCUUAUCGCCCCCGAGCAAACUCGAAUUGACCAACCUCCCAUGAUUGCCGAAAGCAAGACCCAUUUGGCUAGGACAGUCGCAAUUGAACACAUUGAGCUCUGUAGAG